rnacentral:rRNA from 1 species
UACGUAGGGUGCGAGCGUUAAUCGGAAUUACUGGGCGUAAAGCGUGCGCAGGCGGUGAUGUAAGACAGUUGUGAAAUCCCCCGGGCUCAACCUGGGAACUGCAUCUGUGACUGCAUCGCUGGAGUGCGGCAGAGGGGGGAUGGAAUUCCGCGUGUAGCAGUGAAAUGCGUAGAUAUGCGGAGGAACACCGAUGGCGAAGGCAAUCCCCUGGGCCUGCACUGACGCUCAUGCACGAAAGCGUGGGGAGCAAACAGG